GUGGGGAAUAUUGGACAAUGGGCGAAAGCCUGAUCCAGCCAUGCCGCGUGUGUGAAGAAGGUCUUCGGAUUGUAAAGCACUGUAAGUUGGGAGGAAGGGCAGUAAGUUAAUACCUUGCUGAUUUGACGUUACCGACAGAAUAAGCACCGGCUAACUUCGUGCCAGCAGCCGCGGUAAUACGAAGGGUGCAAGCGUUAAUCGGAAUUACUGGGCGUAAAGCGCGCGUAGGGGGUUUUGUAAGUUGGAGGUGAAAUCCCCGGGCUCAACCUGUGAAGUGACUCGAAAACUGAGAGACUAGAGUACAGAAGAGGGUAGUGGAAUUCCCUGUGUAGCGGUGAAAUGCGUAGAUAUAGGAAAGAACACCAGUGGCGAAGGCGACUACCUGGACUGAUACUGACACUGAGGUGCGAAAGCGUGGGGAGCAAACAGGAUUAGAAACCCGGGUAGUCC
rnacentral:rRNA from 1 species